CAGUCGCCGCGGUAAUACGUAGGGCGCAAGCGUUAUCCGGAAUUAUUGGGCGUAAAGAGCUCGUAGGCGGUUUGUCGCGUCUGCCGUGAAAGUCCGGGGCUCAACCCCGGAUCUGCGGUGGGUACGGGCAGACUAGAGUGAUGUAGGGGAGACUGGAAUUCCUGGUGUAGCGGUGAAAUGCGCAGAUAUCAGGUGGAACACCGAUGGCGAAGGCAGGUCUCUGGGCAUUAACUGACGCUGAGGAGCGAAAGCAUGGGGAGCGAACAGGAUUAGAUACCCCUGUAGUCCCUGUCUCUUAUAC
rnacentral:rRNA from 1 species